GGCCCAUUCCACGGUAAGAGUAAAGAAUAUUCGCCAAAAGCUUUGAAGCACCUGUAACUGAUAUCCUUCUCUUGUUGGCCAGCUCAUGGAGACGACACUUUAUGCCCAGAUUUCUGUGCCAGAAUUGGCAAUCUGCGGCACCUCCAGCCAUUGUGCCGAGCAUGUGUGGAUUUAUCUCGAUGAUUUUCUUGACAGACUGAGAUGAUAUAUAUCCACCCAUGCUAGCCCGCGAAUCGGCGGCGAUGAUGACGCCCUCCUUGAAGAUGAAUCCGAGCGUUGUCGUCCCCUUGGCGUGCUUAAGCAUCUUGGUCGCAUCCUUCUGGAAUCCAUCGAAGUCGCCGCAGACGGGGAGAUCGAACGAGGGGGGCGCAGAGUGGUCCAGAGAGAGAUCGUCGAAGGCGCCGCCGUGGAGGGGAGCGAAGGAUUCGAGGCCGCUGGUGUCGAGCUUCAUCGUGGAAGGAGAAACCCUAGCUAUGAC
rnacentral:misc_RNA from 1 species